GAGGCCGGGCUGCGGAGGGCGGGCUUGGGGACCCGGCGGGCGGGGCGAGGUCGCUCCGUGCCGCCCACGCCGGAUGCACAGCCGGCCCUCUCCGUGCCCACGUACCCACGUGAGCGCCCAGCCGGCGACAUUCCUACUCCCCCCCACCCCCACCCCCCGGCUCCUACCCCUCCGAGCGGAGAGCGGAGUUUCGCAACCACGCACCGGUACACAAAAACACGGACAAGCGCACAAACGUGCACACGCGCCUCAACAACUACACGGACGCCCGCUGCCCACACUCCGGCCUCGCAGUACUGUACGUGUGACUGCUAGGAAUGAGCCGGGAAAAGUUGGCGGAGCCUCGGGGUGCGCGGCUCCUUUUGGGCGUGCAUCCGACUCCCCUUGAGUGUGCGCUUAGGGCAGGUUUGUAUGUGAGCCCCUAUGUGUGGAUUUAAAAAUACAUACAUUUAAGAAAUCAUUGACUUGUGAAGCCCCGCAAGAGGCCCAGAGCGCCCCCGCAGCCGGAGCUGCUGAGAUGUCUGUUCUUCGCUUCCCUCCCACUCCUACCACCCCCAACUCCCCUCCUACUCCCUUCCGUUGAGAACUAGGAAUUUCCAGCCUUUUGCAAUUGGAGAGAGACAAAGAGACGGAGACUAUGAGAAGCUAUAGAAAAACAAAGACAAAAGACAGGUGGGGGGGAGGGAUGAUAAAAAAAAAGGUGUAGCACAAAUACAAAAAUCUUAUUUCUUC